GCACCCGCCAGCUUUGCAACAGCCCUGUCACCCCACUUGGAGGGAGCACAGGAGGGUUUGGCACCUUGUUCUGGUGCCUUUUGAGCAUCCAGCACCUCUAGGUGCUCUUCGUAUUCGCGCCGUGUGAGAUGGAGGUGUCCUGGAGAGGGAGACAAGCCUCACACAUUUCUCUGUAGGCUUCGGGCAUGAAAACACCUGGAUCGGGCUCAAUGACCGGAUCGUGGAGCAGGACUUCCAGUGGACAGACAACACCGGCUUGCAAUAUGAGAACUGGCGGGAGAACCAGCCUGACAACUUCUUUGCGGGCGGUGAGGACUGCGUGGUGCUGGUGUCCCACGAGAUUGGCAAAUGGAACGACGUGCCCUGCAAUUACAAUCUGCCCUACAUCUGCAAGAAAGGCACAGGCACCAUCCCCAUCCCACGGCCCCAUCAUCUCACCAGGCACCAUCCACAUCCUGUGGCCCCGGCAUCCAUCACAGGUACCAUCCCCAUCCCACAGCCCAGCAUCCCUCCCCAGGCACCAUCUCCAUCCCAUGGCCCCAUCAUCUCACCAGGUACCAUCCCC